GACGAACCGAGCGAACGUUGUUCGGAAUCACUGGGCUUAAAGGGCGCGUAGGCGGGCCCGCCAGUCUGUGGUGAAAUCCUCCGGCUCAACCGGAGAACUGCCUCGGAUACUGCGGGUCUCGAGGUGAUAGGGGUAUGCGGAACUAUCGGUGGGAGCGGAGAAUGUCGUUGAUAGUACGAGAUAGGGAAGCCUACCGGGUGG
rnacentral:rRNA from 1 species